CUGAGAAUCCCUUGGGUUUCUGCAGCAUCCCAGAGCCUCCUCUGGUGUUUUGCUUCAGGGCUAUGUGACUCUCAGGCUGCUGCUGUCCCAGAACCAGAUCUGCCCAAGACUCCUGCUUGACUCCCAAAUGCCACACAAAGAACAAGGGAAGAGAAUGAGCCAAAGCCUUUACAUCGCAAACCAGUAUGGAACUGGAUUCACUCAGCUGUCAUGAAUGACCCGGCCAGUCAAUGGAGAGGUGCCCCAGGCCCUCAGAUAAUCUGACCACCCUGCACCUCUUCCUCAACUCCCAAUCGAUAAUAAACUACAGCUGCCAUCUUG